UACGAGGGGUGCAAGCGUUGCUCGGAAUUAUUGGGCGUAAAGGGUAGGUAGGUGGUCUCAUUUGUCUGGGGUGAAAGCCUUGAGCUUAACUCAAGAAGUGCCCCGGAAACGGUGAGACUGGAGUCCUGGAGAGGGUCGUGGAAUUCCCGGUGUAGCGGUGAAAUGCGUAGAGAUCGGGAGGAACACCUGUGGCGAAAGCGGCGCACUGGACCAUAACUGACGCUGAGGCGCGAAAGCUAGGGGAGCAAACAGG
rnacentral:rRNA from 1 species